rnacentral:misc_RNA from 1 species
UAGAGGGCUACGGCUCCCUGUUUGAUAUUACCAAAUUGAUAUUUUCUUCUCUGUUGCUUCCACCUUUUAUGACCCUGUUAUAGAUAGUGGGAGGUUUUUUCAAUACUAUUUUUCUUGCUGAGACUUUUGAAUUGUCUGAAUAUAUGAGGGAAAAUGCUAUA